UACACUACAAUUUUGGAAGUGUAGAUUACAGAGUUACUGGAUUAUUUUUAGCAGCACUAGAAGUCAUUAGAAGAGGACAGUGGAAUUUUUACAGAUUGGAGAAUGAGCAUCUGAAUAAUGCUGGCAAAUUUAGAGCUGUGAUAACUGUGCCACUUCCUUUUCAUGAAAUGGAUGAUCAAGAUUGAUGCUUAUUUCACCACAGAUGCUAAAAGAAUACCAAUUAGGAAUCAUAGAACAUGUUCAAAGGACUGUAAAUUCCAUUGUACAUGUUGUUUAUCAAGAUAUCAACUUGCUUUUCUUUUCA